ACAGCAGCCGCCGCGGGAAUACGAAGGGUGCAAGCGUUACUCGGAAUUACUGGGCGUAAAGCGUGCGUAGGUGGUUCGUUAAGUCUGAUGUGAAAGCCCUGGGCUCAACCUGGGAAUUGCAUUGGAUACUGGCGAGCUAGAGUGCGGUAGAGGGUAGUGGAAUCCCCGGUGUAGCAGUGAAAUGCGUAGAGAUCGGGAGGAACAUCUGUGGCGAAGGCAGCCCCCUGGGCCAAUACUGACGCCCAUGCACGAAAGCGUGGGGAGCAAACUGGAUUAGAUACCCCGGUAGUCCCUGUCUCUUAUAA
rnacentral:rRNA from 1 species